AUACGGAGGGUCCAAGCGUUAUCCGGAUUCAUUGGGUUUAAAGGGUCCGCAGGCGGGAAAAUAAGUCAGUGGUGAAAGCCUACAGCUCAACUGUAGAACUGCCAUUGAUACUGUUUUUCUUGAGUAUAGAUGAAGUGGGCGGAAUAUAUCAUGUAGCGGUGAAAUGCAUAGAUAUGAUAUAGAACACCGAUUGCGAAGGCAGCUCACUAAACUAUUACUGACGCUCAGGGACGAAAGCGUGGGGAGUGAACAGGAUUAGAAACCCUAGUAGUCC
rnacentral:rRNA from 1 species